UCCCGGCCACGGCGCGCCUGCUCUGGGCUCUCCGCGUGCCGCGUCGCUUUCUUUUCUUCCUCUGGAGCAGUUAUGGCGGCGGCGAAGACCCUGAACCCCAAGGCCAAGGUGGCCGGAGCGCAGGCGGCGCUGGCGUUCAACAUUAGCGGGGCGCGGGGUCUGCAGGACGUGCUGAGGACCAACCUGGGGCCCAAAGGGACCAUAAAGAUGUAAGGUGGGGCUGGCGGGAGGGCUGGGUGGGCACCGCGCGCCGCUGCGCACCUGGCGGGCCCAAGACCGCAGAUGGGAGCCCGCUGCCUCGGGGCUCCGCAGCCACCCUUCCUCGCGUCCUCCCGGGCCGGUCCUGUUCCCUGCUAAGCCCCACCGUUGCGUCCAUUUCUUCCUGCGUCGAUGCCGUCUCCAUGGAGAAAAAAGCGGCUCUAGUGUGCGGCGUUCCCCGCCUUCUUGGGCUUCCAGACACCCUGAGGACUCUGCACAAUCUCUGCGGGGACGGGGUGGGCACUACACUUGUCCUCCAGCCUGCGGGAGAUAACUAGCUCCAUAUUCUCGGCUCCCUAAGAUCGGGGAAAAGCCCGUUUUCUAAUGGGACUUUUUAAUUUAGUUUUCGUUGAUAACUAGCUCCAUAUCCCUGGCUCCCUGAGAUCUGGGAAAAGUCCUUUUUUGUUGUUUGUUUUGGUUUUUUGUUGUUUUUUUUUUUGAGACAGAGUCUCGCUCUGUCACCCAGGCUAGAGUGCAGUGGCGCGAUCUCGGCUCACUGCAAGCUCCGCCUCCCGGGUUCAUGUCUUUCUCCUGCCUCAGUCUCACGAGUAGCUGGGACUACAGGCGCCCGUCACCACGCCCAGCUUGCUUUAUUUAUUUAUUUAUUUAUUUAUUUUGUAUUUUUAGUAGAGAUGGGGUUUCACCGUGUUAGCCAGGAUGGUCUCGAUAUCCUGACCUCGAGAUCCACCCGCCUCGGCCUCCCAAAGUGCUGGGAUUACAGGCGUGAGCCACCGCACCCGGCUGGAAAAGCCCAUUUUCUAAUGGGACUUUUUAAUUUAGUUUUCGUUUUAAUUUCGUUUUUGUCACAAUUUGAUUGAUUUCUGUCCCUUAAACAGUCUUGUUUCUGGCGCUGGAGACAUCAAGCUUACUAAAGACACAGGAGUUGACGAUCAGCCCUGGCCAACAUGGUGAAACUCAGUCUCUACUAAAAAUACAAAAAUUAGCCGGGCACGGUCCUGCACAGUGCGCUGCUUCACGAAAUGGUGAGAGGUGCUCUGCUAGGUCAGAAAUGUCUUGAUUUUCCGUAGAACUUUUGCUUUGUAGAAAGAUUUGCAAUGUCCAUUCUCAAGGUAGGAGAACAUUCAGAAGUGACAUGUAACAGUGACAGUAAUAGUACUGACUGUGCCUGGAGUCUGACAGCCCUGUCUUUGAAUCCCUGCUUUUUUGCCAUUCACAGUCUGGGCUAAAGGACUGUAAUUGUACAUUAAUUAUAAUAAAAUUUGAAAAAUUAAGGGUGGUUGACACAAUCACAUGG
rnacentral:lncRNA from 10 species